rnacentral:rRNA from 1 species
AACGAACGCUGGCGGCGUGCUUAACACAUGCAAGUCGAACGGAAAGGCCCUGCUUUUGUGGGGUGCUCGAGUGGCGAACGGGUGAGCAGCACGUGGGUAACCUGUCAUUGACUUUGGGGUAACUUAAUGCAACUGGGGCUAAUACCGGCUAGGAGCUAUUGCUGCUUGGUGGGGGCUGGUAAGUUUCGGCGGUUGGGGAUGGACUAGCGGCUUAUCAGCUUGUUGGUUGGGUAGUGGCUGACCAAGGCUUUGACGGGUAGCCGGCCUGGGAGGGUGACCGGCCACAUUGGGACUGAGAUACGGCCCAGACUCCUACGGGAGGCAGCAGUGGGGAAUAUUGCACAAUGGGCGGAAGCCUGAUGCAGCAACGCCGCGUGCGGGAUGACGGCCUGCGGGUUGUAAACCGCUUUCGCCUGUGACGAAGCGUGAGUGACGGUAAUGGGUAAAGAAGCACCGGCUAACUACGUG